GAGUUUGAUCGUGGCUCAGAGCGAACGCUGGCGGCAGGCUUAACACAUGCAAGCCGAGCGGGCGUAGCAAUACGUCAGCGGCAGACGGGUGAGUAACGCGUGGGAACGUACCUUUUGGUUCGGAACAACACAGGGAAACUUGUGCUAAUACCGGAUAAGCCCUUACGGGGAAAGAUUUAUCGCCGAAAGAUCGGCCCGCGUCUGAUUAGCUAGUUGGUGAGGUAAUGGCUCACCAAGGCGACGAUCAGUAGCUGGUCUGAGAGGAUGAUCAGCCACAUUGGGACUGAGACACGGCCCAAACUCCUACGGGAGGCAGCAGUGGGGAAUAUUGGACAAUGGGCGCAAGCCUGAUCCAGCCAUGCCGCGUGAGUGAUGAAGGCCCUAGGGUUGUAAAGCUCUUUUGUGCGGGAAGAUAAUGACGGUACCGCAAGAAUAAGCCCCGGCUAACUUCGUGCCAGCCGCCGCCGUAAG
rnacentral:rRNA from 1 species